rnacentral:rRNA from 1 species
AUGGAUAUCUGCAGAAUUCGCCCUACCUGGUUGAUCCUGCCAGUAGUCAUACGCUUGUCUCAAAGAUUAAGCCAUGCAUGUCUAAGUACAAGCCCUUGUACGGUGAAACUGCGAAAUGGCUCAAUAAAUCGGUUUUAAGACACUUGAUAGUCUCUCUACUUGGAUAACCGUAGCAAUUCUAGAGCUAAUACAUGCUAUCCUUCGGGUGAGCUUAUUAGAUCCAACCCAACCGUGGUGAGUCAUAGUAAUCAAUCUGAUUGGCGCAAGCCGACGGUUCAAUCUCGAUUCCGCCCUAUCAGCUUUCGACGGGUAGGGUAUUGGCCUACCGUGGCGUUAACGGGUAACGGAGAAUUAGGGUUCGAUUCCGGAGAGGGAGCCUGAGAAACGGCUACCCCAUCCAAGGAAGGCAGCAGGCGCGUAAAUUACCCAAUCCUAAAGCAGGGAGGUAGUGACAAUAAAUACUGACGCCGGAUUCAAUGAAUCUGGUAAAGAAUGAGAACAGUCUAAAACCCUUAUCGAGGACCCAUUGGAGGGCAAGUCUGGUGCCCAGCCAGCCCGCGGUAAUUCCAGCUCCAAUAGCCGUAUAUUAAAGUUGUUGCAGUUAAAAAGCCUCGUAGUUGAAUUUCGGGUUUCCGGCGCCUCCCGCCUUCAUUGCGGGGACACGGGGACCCUCCUCGCCUUAGGGCCGUCAUUUACUGUGAAAAAAUUAGAGUGUUCAAAGCAGGCCAAUCGCUUGAAUACAUUAGCAUGGAAUAAUAAGAUAGGGAUUACGUCUAUUUUGUUGGUUGCGGACGAUAAUAAUGAUUAAUAGGGAUAGUUGGGGGUGUCCGUAUUGAGCUGUCAGAGGUGAAAUUCUUGGAUUUGCUCAAGACGAACUACUGCGAAAGCAUUCACCAAGGAUAUUUUCAUUAAUCAAGAACGAAAGUCAGGGGAUCGAAGAGGAUUAGAUACCCUCGUAGUCUUGACCAUAAACUAUGCCGACUCGGGAUUGGCAGACGUUGUAUCGACUCUGUCAGCACCGUAUGAUAAAUCAAAGUCUUUGGGUUCCGGGGGGAGUAUGGUCGCAAGGCUGAAACUUAA